AUGAAUCUAACAGUCGAACGAGCCAAUCAUCGUUUAACAAGUUCCUCAACACAACGCUAAGCAUAAUCCGACACUACAGUACAUUUCCGAAGGCCAUUUUAUUUCCAAAAGAUAUCUCACUAAUCGACACGAUCAAUACGAACGUUACAAACCAUCGACAACCAUGAACGUUCUACCAAAAGCUCAAAACAAAUUAGUACAGGCUAUAAGGAGAAAGGACUGGCCAGCAGUAACAAACAUCCUUGAAAAUGAACCUCAUCUUAUUGAAACGAAGGAUGAGGCAAGUACUAAGUUAAAUUUAUGAAGUGAUUUUCUUGAUUUCAGAAUUUUUAUUGGAUCAUAUUUUUAAAAUAAGAUACAGUCCCAACACAACACACAGUUCACAAUUAUUUGCACAAAAUAUGUGUACCUAUUUUCUGGGGUUUUCUUAUGAUUAAAAAAAAUUUAAUCUGCCUUACAGAAUUGAAAACAAAAUUGUCAUUCUCUUUAAUUAAUUAAAAACUGUGCGGUUUAAUAUUCAAAACGUUCGCGAAGACUACUUAGAACUAAAUAAAUCGGUCU